CAGCCGCCACGGUAAUACAGAGGGUGCGAGCGUUAAUCGGAUUUACUGGGCGUAAAGCGUGCGUAGGCGGCUUUUUAAGUCGGAUGUGAAAUCCCUGAGCUUAACUUAGGAAUUGCAUUCGAUACUGGGAAGCUAGAGUAUGGGAGAGGAUGGUAGAAUUCCAGGUGUAGCGGUGAAAUGCGUAGAGAUCUGGAGGAAUACCGAUGGCGAAGGCAGCCAUCUGGCCUAAUACUGACGCUGAGGUACGAAAGCAUGGGGAGCAAACAGGAUUAGAUACCCCAGUAGUCCCUGUCUCUUAUAA
rnacentral:rRNA from 1 species